rnacentral:lncRNA from 1 species
GUCCGUGUCACUCGCUGUGUGCCUGUGUGUGGCUCCGUGGGUGUCGCUCCUUGUGCGUGCGUGUGUCACUCCGUGUGUGCGGGUCCCUUCCUCGGUGCAUAUGUCACUCCCUCUCUGUCUGUGUGUCACUGUGCGUGUGUCGCUGUGUCUGUCACUGUGUGUCACUGUGUGUGUGUCACUGUCUGUGUCACUCUGUGUAUGUCAGUGUGUGUGUCAGUGUGUCACUGUCUGUGUCACUGUGCAUGUCACUGUGUCACUCCGUGUGUGUGUGGCUCCAUGUGUGUCACUGUGCGUGUCACUGUCUGUGCCACUGUGCGUGUCAAUGUCUGUGUCACUCCGAGAGUGUCAUUUAUGUGUGUCGCUGUGUGUGUCCCUGUGUGUGUUGGUGCAUUGUCACUCUCUGUGUCACUGUGUGUGUGUGUCGCUGUGUGUGUUCCUGUGUGUGUUGGUGCAUUGUCACUCUCUGUGUCACUGUGUGUGUGUGUCACUGUGUGUGUUCCUGUGUGUGUCGGUGCAUUGUCACUCUCUGUGUCACUGUGUGUGUGUCACUGUGUGUGUCCGUGUGUGUGUCGGUGCGUGUGUCGCUGCUGGCGCUGUCCCAGUGGGCACACAUCCCCGUGUCCGUAUCCGUGCCUGUGUCCGUGUCCAUUCCGUGUCCGUGUCCGUGUCCGUGUCCCUGUCCCUGUCCGUGUCCCUGUCUGUGUCCCUUUCCCUGUCCGUGUCCGUGUCCCUGUCCGUGCCCGUGUCUGUUCCGUGUCCGUGUCCAUUCCGUGUCUCUGUCUGUGUCCGUUCCAUGCCCGUGCCCGUGUCCGUGCCCGUGCCCGUGUCCAUGUCUGUGUCUGUGUCUGUGUCCGUGCCCGUGUCUCUGUCCGUGUCCGUGUCCCUGUCCGUGUUCCUGUCCAUGUCCGUGUCCCUGUCUCUGUCCGUGUCUGUGUCCCUGUCCCUGUCCGUGUCCCUGUCCCUGUCCGUGUCCGUGUCCCUGUCCCUGUCCGUGUCCCUGUCCCUUUCCCUGUCCGUGUCCAUGUCCGUGUCCCUGUCCCUGUCCGUGUCCAUUCCGUGUCCCUGUCCCUGUCCCUGUCCCUGUCCCUGUCCGUGUCCAUUCCGUGUCCGUGUCCGUGUCCGUGUCCGUGUCCCUGUCCAUUCCGUGUCCAUUCCCUGUCCGUGUCCGUGUCCCUGUCCGUGUCCGUGUCCAUUCCGUGUCCGUGUCCGUGUCCAUUCCGUGUCCGUGUCCG